ACCCACCGAAAUGAGUGAGAAAAGCCAUGGAGUGAGUUCAUAUUAUAAGAAUUUCUUGUGGUUUUAAAGGUGGAUGAAACUAAAAUGGUUAUCCUCUCUUUCCCCUUUCACAAAUGUCUCUCCUCUCUCUCCCAUCCACUCUCUCUCCUCUUUCCCCUUCACUCUCUCUACUUCCCGCAUCCUUUCUCUCCCUUUUUCUUACAGGCAAACAAACCGUCAAAUUAUACCUUCAUAAUCCUCUUCCCAUCCUCUUUCUGAUCCUCAAGUUAGUGUCUACAAAUUCAUGGCCAAAUUUCUUCAAUUUCAAAUCUAAGAAACGUAUGAUUUUGUUCGGGUUUUAUGUGUUUUUCAAGUAUGGGAGCGGCGUACUUGAUGGCCAAGAGCGGAUUAGCAGUGGCGUCGAUGAGUGUGAUGAGGUUGAAGCUGGUGAUGAAGUCGAUCGUGCCGGUGGUUAUGAUGGGAUUGUUGGCAUGUGAUUUACCUAUCAAGUAGAGAAACCGUGGUGCACCUCAUUGGUGGAAUGAAGGUGGACGUUGACAGAGAUGAGUCUUCACAUAUGCUGUCAUGCUUGCUUCAGAUGUUUGCUCUUGGUCUAUUUUCAAUAUAUUGUUCUUAGUUCAUUGUGUUUUAUUUUUACCAUGUUUUGUAAAAGAUAUAUUUGGUUAAGUAAGCUUCAUUGCAUGACGAACUUAGGUCUGAUGCCUGCAGCCUGUAGUGGGAGGAUGGAAUUCUGAAGAAGGCUUAGUUGUAACUUGUAAGUUAUGUAGGAUUUGUUGUGAAUAGCUGGAAUUCAGUAAGUGAAAAGUUAACUAUGAUAAUUUUUGUGAAUUUUACUUUAUGUAUAUACUAGAAAUGCCAUAGGGAAGGCAUAGAACCAAUUGGGUGGAUUUUGUUAGUUAUCAGUUUACUGUUGGUGGAUGUGCAUAGGUACAUAGGUGUUAUAAAAUGUAACGUCAUCACCCUUGGGUACUUGGUUGUGUUGGACAACAUCGUUGAAUGCAAUAUGCUUUCUUAUGUAGCACAAACCUUGUUAUUGAUAAAUCUAUUGGAUAUAAAGUGUGGUUGGUUGGAAAUGUGAAUCCUUUUGCAAAUUUAAAUUUC